UAAAUCAUUUUGAGUUAUAUUUUUGGGAGGAGAAAAAUUUAUAGCAAUUAAGGAAAAAAAAAAUAUGUUUGAAAACUAAAUUUAAAAAAUGUUGACACUCUCGAAACCGAGGCAAUUAAUUAAUUUUGUCCGAUUUAUGACUUGUGGUAAAGGAAAUAAUUCUGAUAAUAAAGAUUCAUGUGAGGAAAUUUCCGAAACAGAAACCGAGCAGGAAUCAUGUGAUAAAAAAGAAAAUGUUUGCGAUAAUAAUUACAAAGAGGAAGAUGAAGAUUGGAAAACAAAAUUUUGUACAACUCCAAAAAAAUGUUCACAAUUUCCAAUACCUGAAAUUGAUUUAAGCGAUCCUUGUGGUAAACAAUGUAGACCACCUCCACCACCAUCACCACCAGAACCCAAGGAAUCUUGUUUCUGUUAUGAUGAUAUUGAAUUAUGUCCCCCAACUGAAGAAAUUAGAAGACGAUAUAAUAUGUGGAGAUUAGCAAGUUUUGCUGUAUUUCCAAUAAUUGGUUUGGCAUUAUCAUUAAUAUUACCGGCUCAUCGAAAACAUCAGGAGGAAAUAGAGGAGAGAAUGAGAAAUUCAGAGUUUAUUCCUUAUCCAUAUAUGCAUCGUAUAACAAAACCUUGGUGGUGGGGAGAUGGACAUCAUGGUUUAUUUUUUAAUCCAAAAGUAAAUAAAGUUCCACCCGAAUUCGAUCAGACAAUUUCCAAAGAGGAGAAUAAAAAUGAUAGUAAAUGUUCAGAUACAAAUGAAAAUGAUUAUGCAGAUGAAGAUGAUAAUUACAAUGAAAAUUAUAAUGAUAAUAGUUAUGGACAAGAAACACAAUUUAGAAAUGGAUAUCCCUAUGGAAAUGGAAGUAGAAAUGGCAAAAAUAAUAGAAGAAGAGAAAAUUGAAAACGAAUUUUAUAAAUUUGACGGCAAAUAGCAUGAUUUUUGAUCGAAAAAAAAUUUACAUACUAGUAUCAAUUUUAGGAAGAAGUCUUAUAAUAAUCGAGGAGAGAAAAUAAAGCUUUUCUAUCUAGAAUACAAAUUUCUAGAACUCCUUUUGCCUUUAUAUAUGGUACGAGGUCGAAUCUUCCAACUAAAAGCAUUCCUUUCAAAAGAAUCAUAUCUUUUCAUACAAACUAUUCAUCCACGAAUUUUUACGAAAUAAUAUACUUAAAAGAAUAACUAGUACAAAAUGAAAGAUCAUUCAAGUUUAUUGUAGA